UCGCAGCGGCCGCUGUGAAGCCCCGGGCCCCGCUCGCUCGGCGACACGCUCCCCUCCCCCGGAGGUUGCGAUGACCGGACAAUGGCCGCUCCGCCCCCUCCCCUCCGCGCGCACCCCUCCCAAGGAGUCACAAUGGUCUCGCCCGAGGGAGACGCCGCCAAAGCCCAGCAGCUGAUCAGCUGGGAUCCGGGCGUGCCACUUUGUUCAGUGCCUCAAAGGCAGAGUACGGGGCUCUGGGCAAGGCCGACGGCAUCGGGUUAGCAGUCGGCAGCCGGCCUCUGAGACUUUUGUAUUCUUGUAACUUUUAAAAUCUGAGGCAAACUUACCUUCCCCGUCUGAGGAAAGGGAGCAGGUUUCUGAGCGCUCUGGGGCGCGUUGCGUCCCCCCUAAGCGAAUGUCGUGAACAGAGAAGCUGGCUACUGAUGACUGGUUUCAACACGGAGGAAACUUCCAGCUGACCUCUUGGAGGAGUGACCAGUCGUCUGUGGGCGACCUACUUCCAGGAGGGGUCCCUGACUCUGGAGUGCUUGCCAUGCACCUUCCCAACCCGACAGCAAUGUGAGCGCCUCGGAGGGCAUUGCCUGCGUUAGUUUUAUUACCAAUGUUGUGGUUUCGUUUCUUUAUAAACCAGAUCAUAUUUCUCUUUCUGCGUCGUCUGUGGAUUUAACAUUGCUGUCUAAAGAACAAGGCUCAGAUUAACUUAGAAUCCUCCUAAACCUGCUGUUGACGUUGACGAUGACUGCAAAAAUUAAGUCGUUUAAAGCCAAAAUAUGAGUGCUGAUUUAUGCAAAAGAUUUAGUUUUGAUGUUGUGAACUUUCACAAGCCUUCAAUAAGUACUUGUCAAAAGCCAUAGACUAGGCACUGGCGCUGUUGCGUAACCCGUAAAGCCGCCGCCUGCAGUGCCGGCAUCCUGUAUGGGCACCGGUUUGAGUCUCGGCUGCUCCACUUCUGAUCCUGCUCUCUGCUGUGGCCUGGGAAAGCAGUAGAAGAUGACCCAAGUCCUUGGGCCCCUGCACCCACAUGGGAGACCCGAAAGAAGCCCCUGGCUCCUGGCUUCAGAUUGAUGCAGCUCCAGCCGUUGUGGCCAAUUAGGGAGUGAACCAGUCAAUGGAAGACCUCCCUCUCUGCCUCUCCUUCUCUCUGUGUGUAGCUCUGACUUCCAAAUAAAUAUAUAAAUCUCUUUAAAAAAAAAAAAAAAAAACACAGACAAGAGGAAGCCAUACAGCAUACCUCACUCGCAUUUGAUUUGUAUUAUCCUUAAGUCUUCCCUGGAAACUGACCUAAAACUGCUGCACACAUGAAAGAGUUACAGCUUUGAGUUUCACUGAGGUUAAGUGGAUCUCUUUUUCUAUUGACAUCCUAGUGAAUUUCUUUUAUGUAUAGAAAAGGAAACCCUAAAACCAAAAAGGAAAUUUUAGUUUAGAAAAUGAUUGUUAUUUUACCCACUGCUUGUCUUCCUGCCUGCCAGUUAUUCAGUGAACGUUUAUUGAGUAGCUAGUACAGGCAUUUCCUAAACCCAGGGAGACUAAAAGGAAGAAUAAAAUGUAGUGUUCCAUCAGCAGGUGCAUACUCCCUGCCAAGGGAGUUCCAUCCUCUGGAUUCCAUCUUCUCUCAGGCUUUAUUGCCUACUCUUCUCUCUGCAUCCUGCCAGUCAGCCACUGGUUUCACUCCUCUGGUGCACUUGCACCAUUGCAUUCCCUUGGUCCCUCACCCACUGCACCACUACCCUUCCUCUCUUGCCCAGUGCACUCCUGCUGCCGCUUCAGGAGCGUGUUACCUUUUCAACACCUGCCAGACCCUGCCUAGGCCGAGUCCGUCCCUCCUUCCUCUGUCCAUAGGAUCUCUAUGAUGAGAUCACAAAAUGCACAUGUUUGUCUCCCUGUUUCCAAAAGGUCUGAGAUUGAAGCAAACGCAGCCCGUGUGUGUUAAAUGGAAGAACUGGGCUCUUUUGUCUGCAAGUAAUAAAACUCACUUAAACCAAUUUGCGAAACCAAAUAUAUAUACACACACACAUAUGCAUACGUGUCAUCGCCCAAGGGUACAGAAUACAGCAAGCGCUCUGAAGGACUGAAACAAGGACUAAAAUAUCAACAGGAAGCCAAGUGGCUAUUCCCGCAAUAUCUCUGUUUCUCUCCGGUCACUGUUCUUUCAUAGAUGUGGCUCUGUACAAAACUGCUUCGUUCUGUUCUGCAGAAUUGUUUUCACUGCUUCUCUGGGAACAGAGUUCAAGCUUACCUACCCUCACUUCGAGAACCAGCAGAGACUAAUUAGUAUCAUGAAUCCCAAUUUUCAGAAGAAAGAACCUGAUUGGUCCAGCUUAUGUCAGGUUGUCUAAUCUUGGCACAGCUUCCUCUGACCCAUGGAGCAUUAUGUAGUCAACUCUUUGUUUUGUAAUGCGAACAUGGUUGCCAGAGGCCCAUCCUAGUCAGCUGCUUGACUUGAAAAGUUUUAUAUAUAUAUAUAUGUAUAUAUAUAUAUAUAAAAUAUAUAUUUUUUCAAAGGUCAGUAAUGUUCCUGGCAAAGAUUCCAAAAGAUGUCCACCACUGACCAAAAUUUAAAAGCAAAGAGCAGUGGGCAUGUUCAAGAUUUUUCCAAAACAAUGACUCCAAAACUAUUUCAGAUGUAAAUUUAAAUGGCAAACUCCCUCAAAGAGGCCCUCUGUGACCCCAUAGCCUCAAUCAAAAUUAUGAUACCAUAUUAUUAUCUUAAAUGACACCCUUCUCCUUGAUAACGCCUAUUUCAGUUUAUAAUUAAAUAUAUAUUUGUGAGUCACCUCUCCAAAGAUCAUAUCUGUUUCGCUCACCAUGAUAAACAUGAUGCCCAGGGCACAUUUAGCAGGCAUUCAAUAAAUAUUUGUUGAAUGGGAAAAGGGCACAAUAACUUGUUAAUCAACGUGAAAAGACCUGUAUAUGCAUUGGCAUCCUGAUCAGACUGCCCUAGGGGAAUGUCUCAGUCAUCAACCCAUCUUCCAUUGAAGAUACUGAAACUCAGUACUAGCAUUUUUGCCACUGUCAUUGUAUGAAAUGAGAGCCAGGUACACCUGCCUCCUACCAUGAUGUUUCCUGCCAACUAACUCUUCACUCUUAGUUCCCAAGGUCUCUGUCUGCAAAGCCCUUGAUCCAAUCUUAUAACACGCACACUUAGUUAUCUGAGAGCUCAGAGAGGACAUAAAAUUUCAGGGCAUCAUCAAAUUAGGGGAACAAAGAGUGGGGGUAAUUGGCAGAAAUGCUCUUGUCAUAAUUAUCUUCACUAUUUUCUAGUGUGGAUUACGUUCCAGAUGAACCUGUAAUGUGACUCUUGGGAGUAGUUUGCAAUCACCAAUGGCCCAAAAGGAGCCGUCUGUGUGCUCAGUAGGGUCUAGUAAAGGAUAAUAUUAAUUCUUCAGCAGCCAAAGCUUUUGAAGUAGCAACUGAGAUUGUAUGGGAAAGAGCCUGGGCUGACUCAAGGGCAGGGCCUCAUAAGGGCUGCUUUCUUGCUAACGGUGCAAAGUCCCUACUGAACCCUGGAAGUCACAACCAGGGCUGGGAACCUUUUUUCUGACAUUUGGAUAUUUACAUCAUUCAUGGGUCAUAAAAAAAUUACCAACUGAAAACUUAGCCUGCUAGAGAUUUUAUGAAUUCCAAGUCCCACCUGUGGUUGCCUUGGCAAGGCCAGACCAAAUGAUUUCACAAACCUUGUAUGGCCUAGAGGUUGGGUGUCCCCAACCCCUGACAUAACCAAAAAAGAAAAAAGAAGUAGAAGAAAUGGAUAGAGACCUGAGAGGAAACAGAUAAUCUCUCCCUGUAAUUCUCUUCUUGGUCAAAACCUUUUGUCAUUAUGAUUCAUUCUAACUUGACGUUAGCCCCAAUAGCCAAUCCCAAUUCUGCCCUCAAGCUUAAUCCUAAUCCUAAUACUGGCUGUAAAAUUUCACCCCACAUUUCAAACCUAAUCUCAACUAGGAUUCUGUGAGUUUAACAAAGGCUCCUUGCCUUGCCAUUGAGUUAUUUCCCCCAGUUCUUCUUUCUUCUUGGGACCUUUGACCCUAACCCACCCAUAACAUCCUGGACCCCUGGGAAGAAUGGGAAUCAAUACCAAUAAUCCAAAGGAAACAAACGAGCUCUGGCCUGCCAAGAAAGAGAAAACGGGGCAUUUCACACUUGAGGGGGAGGUAGGGACCCUGCCCAGUCACAACAUGUCCUGUUGCCCAAGUCAGGACAUUAUCUGAAUUCCAGAAAACAUGAGAUCAAGCAACCUGUGCUGGCAGGCAGCAGAGAGCCUAAGACCCUUUGGCAAAACAAUAAGGUUCUCAAAGAGCACAAAGUCUGGCACCUGCUCUCCUCUCACAUUUGGGUUUGAUUUUCCACAAAGCGGGGUGGGGAGGGAUGUUGUUCUCAGAGCCACUGAAUCAACCCCUCCUCUGAGGCGCCUGUGGCUCCUGAGCUUUCUGGAUGUGCAGUUGAUCCUUUGAGUCACUCACGGUCCAGUUGGCAUGGAUAAACUCUCAGAGCCAGGGGAAGAGAAGGGCAACCAAGCAUGUUGUCUCCAUCCCGUCUCAGGAAACUCAAAAUAAAUGAAAUAAAACGAAGGGUGCAACGGGGAAGAGAGGAAAGCGAGGAGAAAACGCUGCCAUUUCACGUCCCGGGCUCCUCGUGUUCAUGAAGCAACUGCUGAUUUCCCUGCUGCUCACACCCGUCUUGGUGUGAAAUUUGAUUUCACUGACUUUUAAAUUUCUUUUCCAGAAUGGAAAUCAUUGUUUUUCCCAGAAAUACUUGACCUUUCUUGGGAGAAAGAAUUCAAAUAAUGAGAAAAGUUCUCCCUACCACCCCCCACCCCGGCAAGGAUCCCCUGUGCUGGCGGCGCAGUGUGGAGCCCUCCAGGAUACUCAUUUGUGUAUGGUCUUAUGGAUGGGGUCAUGCUCUAGCGGAUUCGAUUCUGGCUUUGAGAUAUGUCAUGAACGUCGUCCCUCUCUCCAAAUGUGGCUUUGCAGUAUAUUCUUGGAGCUAAGUAUAUCCAUCAGCAUUCUCCAGAGAAACGGAACCAAUGGGAAGCAUAUACAUAUGAGAUUUAUUACAAGGAGUUGCUUGGCAGGAUUAUGGAGGCUGCGAGGUCCCAGAUCUACAUCUGAGAGCACCUGUGGUUUACGUUCCAGACUGGGUCAGGAGAAGACUGAUGUCCCACUCAGACCAGCCGGCCAACGGUGAAGCACCCUUUGUUCUAUUUAAAAGGCCUUCAGGGGCUUAGAGAAGGGCUGCCCAAUCUGCUUCGCUGGAUCCACUCAUUUGUGUUAGCCUAUUCAGACUGCUCUAACAGAAUACAUCAACUGAGUAUUUUAGGCAUGGAAAGCCAAGACACUCUGGC